rnacentral:rRNA from 1 species
CAAUAGCGUAUAUUUAAGUUGUUGCAGUUAAAAAGCUCGUAGUUGGAUUUCGGGUAGGAUUUGCCGGUCCGUCUUUGAGAUGUGUACUGGUAAGUCCUAUCUUCUUGUCGGGGACCAGCUCCUGGGCUUCACUGUCCGGGACUGGGAGCCGACGAAGUUACUUUGAGUAAAUUAGAGUGUUCAAAGCAAGCCUACGCUCUGAAUAUAAUAGCAUGGGAUAACACGACAGGACUCUGGCCUAUCGUGUUGGUCUAUAGGACCAGAGUAAUGAUUAAGAGGGACAGUCGGGGGCAUUCGUAUUCCGUUGUCAGAGGUGAAAUUCUUGGAUUUACGGAAGACGAACAUCUGCGAAAGCAUUUGCCAAGGAUGUUUUCAUUGA